rnacentral:rRNA from 1 species
UACGUAGGGUGCAAGCGUUGUCCGGAAUUAUUGGGCGUAAAGAGCUCGUAGGCGGUUUGUUGCGUCGGCUGUGAAAUCCCGAGGCUCAACCUCGGGUCUGCAGUCGAUACGAGCAAACUAGAGUGUUGCAGGGGAGACUGGAAUUCCUGGUGUAGCGGUGAAAUGCGUAGAGAUCCGGAGGAACACCAAAGGCGAAGGCAGUGUCCUGGGGAGUACCUGACGCUCAGGUGCGAAAGCCAGGGGAGCGAACGGG